AGCAUAUCAAUAAGCGGAGGAAAAGAAACUAACAAGGAUUCCCCUAGUAACUGCGAGUGAAGCGGGAAAAGCUCAAAUUUAAAAUCUGUCAGUCUUUGGCUGUCCGAGUUGUAAUCUAGAGAAGCGUUAUCCGCGCUGGACCGUGUACAAGUCUCCUGGAAUGGAGCGUCAUAGAGGGUGAGAAUCCCGUCUUUGACACGGACUGCCAGGGCUUUGUGAUGCGCUCUCAAAGAGUCGAGUUGUUUGGGAAUGCAGCUCAAAAUGGGUGGUAAAUUCCAUCUAAAGCUAAAUAUUGGCGAGAGACCGAUAGCGAACAAGUACCGUGAGGGAAAGAUGAAAAGAACUUUGGAAAGAGAGUUAAACAGUACGUGAAAUUGCUGAAAGGGAAACGCUUGAAGUCAGUCGCGUUGUCCAGGGAUCAGCCUUGCUUUUGCUUGGUGUACUUUCUGGUUGACGGGUCAGCAUCAAUUUUGACUGUUGGAAAAAGAUUGGGGGAAUGUGGCAUCUCCGGAUGUGUUAUAGCCCCUGGUUGCAUACAAUGGUUGGGAUUGAGGAACUCAGCACGCCGCAAGGCCGGGUUUUUAACCACGUACGUGCUUAGGAUGCUGGCAUAAUGGCUUUAAUCGACCCGUCUUGAAACACGGACCAAGGAGUCUAACAUGCCUGCGAGUGUUUGGGUGGAAAACCCAAGCGCGUAAUGAAAGUGAAAGUUGAGAUCCCUGUCGUGGGGAGCAUCGACGCCCGGACCUGACCUUUUGUGACGGUUCCGCGGUAGAGCAUGUAUGUUGGGACCCGAAAGAUGGUGAACUAUGCCUGAAUAGGGUGAAGCCAGAGGAAACUCUGGUGGAGGCUCGUAGCGAUUCUGACGUGCAAAUCGAUCGUCAAAUUUGGGUAUAGGGGCGAAAGACUAAUCGAACCAUCUAGUAGCUG
rnacentral:rRNA from 1 species